CUGCAGCCCCGCUCUCGUCCGGAACCCCCACAAAGGGAACUCGGGACACCCCAGCGCAGUCCGGCAGCUGCCGCGGUCACAACCCGCAAGCUCCUGCUUGGGGCUCGGGGAAGGGAUGACCCCCAAAUCUAGGCUGCUCUGAGCUAUGGGUAACCUGGCUGUUGAAGAUCAAAUAGACUCGUAGAGCGGCUUCGGUUGGAAAGGACCUUAAACAUCACCUGGUUCCAACAGCUGAUGUCAACCCAGCGUUUUUAAAGCACGGGUUACCGCGCUGUGAAUGUGGAAGCCAUCACAACAGAAGUGAACGAACUCCUUGGGCUUAUCUGGAACAAGCCAUUGUCAUCUUUCGAAGGCUCGGUACCUUCUGCAGCACUCAUUUGGUAUCUACUGAUACAAAGGCCUGAACAAAG